GAUGAACGCUAGCGGCAGGCUUAACACAUGCAAGUCGAUUCGAUUUACCUUCGGGUAUUGAGGAUGGCGGACGGGUGAGUAACGCAUAAGGAACUUGCCUCUUGGACUGGGACAACUGUUGGAAACGACAGCUAAUACCGGAUAUUAUGAGAUUCUCGCAUGGGAAACUUAUGAAAGCUAUAUGCGCCAAGAGAGAGCCUUGCGUUCCAUUAGCUAGUUGGUGGGUUAAAGGCCCACCAAGCCAACGAUCUGUAGCUGGUCUGAGAGGACGACCAGCCACACUGGGACUGAGACACGGCCCAGACUCCUACGGGAGGCAGCAGUGGGAAUUUUGGACAAUGGCGCAAGCCUGAUCCAGCAAUUCUGUGUGCACGAUGAAGGUCUUCGGAUUGUAAAGUGCUUUCAGUUGGGAAGAAGAAAGUGACGGGUACCAACAGAAGAAGCGACGGGCUAAAAUACGUGCCAG
rnacentral:rRNA from 1 species